GCGUGAAUUACAUUAUCGAGUUUUAAAUCAACUGCUAUAAGUGUGAAGAAAAGCGCCAAGUUCACAUAUCAAAGAUUUUUAAGGAGCUCAUAUUAAUUGGUUGUACUAAAACUAAAAUCAGUACAGUAUUUAUGCCUAGGCCUAGAAGGCACCGACCAGUCUACUCAGACAAAAAAUAGGCGGAUCUCAAAAGUUAAAGGGCCUUGGAUCUCUAAUUCCGGGCCUGGCUAUAAUAUUAAAAGCUAACAGGACCGCCGUUCGUAAGCAAUAGAGCAUUACUAUGAAAACCAACACAAAUCUCAACACAAAAUACGAUCGUGAAAUGUUUGAAAUUAAUUGACUAUAACUUAAUUAAAAUAUUUUAAAAAUGAACGCACCGAAAUUGCAAUGUGGUCCUCAUAAACAUAUCAUAAAGAUAUUGUAUUUAUGGGCUAAAGCUUAUCUUGUUGAGAAGAAGGUUCAGACAUCAUUCCACCAGCUGCUCCAGUGUGUGUUGGUAGAAAAUAUAAUACAUUUUCAUCCAACUUCCUAUUAAAACCAAAGGAGAACCGCAUUAGCAUCAGUUCACGUAACGUAAAAGGUAUAUCAGUAAAAGAGUUUCAAAUACUAUUGUGAUAAAGUUUAA